UCAGCGCCCGCCCCAGACGUUGACCCCGUUCCUAGAAAACGCCCGAGCCGCGUCCACGGCUGGCUUUUUUGUUUGUAUUGCUGGAACAGAUAAAAGGGAGUGGGGGAGACGGCCGUGGGGAAAGGACAAGAAAGGGGAAAAGAGUUACAAGCCGAAGAAGCCAAGAGUUACCCAGCGUGUAGUAAUUAGUAGUAGCGUAGUAAGGGUGAUAACUGGGCGCUGACCCUGGACCGAGUCCCUGCAGGCGCGUUGCGCUCUUUUAGAUCGUGACUCCUUCAGAUCCUGGGGAAAGCCAGCUGCAUGUUGUGAGGACUCUCAAGCUGUCUGUCCUCUGGGCAGACCCCUGUGGUGAGGAACUGAGGCCUUCUGCCAAUAGCCACUGCAGAAAGGACAUCUUUCUAUGUCAGCACACAAACUUCUGCAUCAUUCGUAGUGGCUAUAUCAUGCGUCAGUACCACUCUUCAAUCAGUUCCUUAUUGUUGGGCAAUCAAGAGGAAGGCAUUUCAUCUCCAUUACAGAGAUGAGGACUCGAAGAGACCCGAAGGCUAAGGCACCGAUCCAAGCAUGCACAGCUAGGGUGACAGAGCUGGGCUUUGAACUUGGACUUCAUCAGUCUUGAGACUUUCUGUUCUCUGGAUCUCGUGCUGUACCGCCUGAGCCUUGUGGACCAACGAAUGCCCUCUUCCCUCCCUUCAUUGUCUUUUACCGAGACAGACGACCUAUGUAUGGAAAAGGACUUGAAACAUAUAUGUCAGUAUAAAGGUAGUUAUCAGUUAUAAAUAGUUAUAAUACUCAUACAUCAACCACUUAGGCAAAGAAAUAGAACAUAGCCAGUGUCUUGGCGGCCCCUGUGCUCUCUCCCAGAGGCACCCAGCAUCCGAGCCCUUUAGAUAUUUAUUUGUAAUUGUUUUGCCACAUAUGUUUACAUCCCUACACUAUUUCAUUUUGUCUUGCCUGAAUGAGAAUUUUAUGUAAAUGGACUCACACUCACAAAUUCUUUUUUCCCUUGCUUCUUUGCCCUCAACAAAAUGGGAGAUUCAGACAUGCUCUUGUCCACAGCAGUGGUUCAUUCAUUUCAUGGCUUUGUUGUACUCCAUUGUACGAACGUGCAGUAGACCACCCCUGCUACCGCUGCUGGGUAUUUGGGUCAUUUCCAGAUUUUGGCAAUCAUGACAUUGCUGCAUUGUUACAUGUGUCUGUGAAUGCACAUGGGUAGGAGUUUCUCUAGAACACAAACUUGGAGUGGAAUUGCUGGGUUGCAGCCUGUACUUAUUUUCGACUUGACUAGAUAUGUGGUUUUGCAAGAGCUCCUUUUCCUCCGCAUCCUCACUAGUGUUUUUCGCUGUCUCCUAUCUUUUCUUCAGCAUGAUCCUCUGUUAUAUGUUAUCUUCAUCAAUCUGCUCAUGGAUUUGCAAAGGCAAGUGGAGGAGCCCAGCGUAAACACUGGCUGUACCUACACCGGACCCUGUGUUUACUGAAUCAGACUCACCAAGGGAGCAGCCCAGGAAUCUGUUUUUCAUAACCUCCCCUAGUGGUCCAGAUAAUCAGCUCUGUUAUCUAGAGCCUUGAUGCAUUUUUUUGUCCUGGGAUUCUUGUUCCAAA